GUUUUUGCAUCAUAAAUUCAAAAUGUGGGUGUAAACUGUAGAAUAUUUUUUUUUUUUUUUUUGUAAUCUAAGUUAGGUUGUUACUAGUUUUAUUUAUUUAUUUAUUUAAGAUGGAGUUUCGCUCUUGUUGCCCAGGCUGGAAUGCAAUGGUGCGAUCUCUGCUCACAGCAACCUCCACCUCCUGAAUUCAAGUGAUUCUUUUGCCUCAGCAUCCUGAGUAACUAGGAUUACAGCCAUGCGCCACCACACCCGGAUAAUUUUGUACUUUUAGUAGAGACAGGGUUUCUCCAUGUUAGUCAGGAUGGUCUGGAAUUCCUGACCUCAGGUGAUCUGCCCGCCUCAACCUUAAAAACUGUUGGGAUAACAGGCAUGAGCCACCACACCCUGCCACGUUACUAGUUUUAAAAACCUUUUACAGGCCGGUCACAGUGGCUGACGCCUGUAAUCCCAGCACUUUGGGAGGCCGAGGUGAGCGGAUCACAAGGUCAGGAGAUCGAGACCACCCUGUCUAACACGGUAAAACCCCGUCUCUACCAAAAAUACAAAAAAAAAAGAAUUAGCCAGGCAUGGUGGCAGGUGCCUGUAGUCCCAGCUACUCAGGAGGCUGAGGCAGGAGAAUGGCGGGAACCCGGGAGGCUGAGGCCGGAGAAUGGCGGGAACCCGGGGGGCGGAGCUUGCAGUGAGCUGAGAUCCGGCCACUGCACUCCAGCCUGGGUGACAGAGCGAGACUCCGUCUCAAAAAAAAAAAAAAAAAAAAAAAAAAAAAACAAAUACAUGAGAGAGAACCCAGCAAGACUCCACUUUUCUGACCUACUUAAACUUGACAUACUACAUGUCUGUUGUUUAAAGCAGCUAAGUUUUGAGGUAAUAUGUUAGUUAUGGAUAAGUAAUACACUAAUUAAAUUGAAUUUUUUUUUACAAGUUUGUUUAACACAGUUUCCUCUUAACUAUAGAUACCACAUUGCUUAUAGUUUAUACUGGGGAAAUAGGGUUAACGAUGUUUAAGGACUUUGCUUGAUAGGUUGUGAGUAUGUUCACAUUUAAUCUU
rnacentral:lncRNA from 1 species